rnacentral:tRNA from 1 species
AAAUGAUUAUAUUUAAUUUCGACUUAAAUUUAGUAAGUAAAAUCUUGCCAUUUA